rnacentral:rRNA from 1 species
CCCUUAGAUGUUCUGGGCCGCACGCGCGCUACACUGACGAUGGCAACGAGUUUUUCCUUCGCCGAAAGGUGUGGGUAAUCUUUUGAAACAUCGUCGUGCUGGGGAUAGAUCAUUGCAAUUUUUGAUCUUGAACGAGGAAUUCCUAGUAAGCGCGAGUCAUCAGCUCGCGUUGAUUACGUCCCUGCCCUUUGUACACACCGCCCGUCGCUACUACCGAUUGAAUGGUUUAGUGAGGACUCCUGAUUGGCGCCGCCGCCCCGGCAACGGAGCAGCGGACAGCCGAAAAGUUGUUCAAACUUGAUCAUUUAGAGGAAGUAAAAGUCGUAACA